rnacentral:rRNA from 1 species
UACGAAGGGGGGCUAGCGUUGCUCGGAAUCACUGGGCGUAAAGCGCACGUAGGCGGAUUGCUAAGUCAGGGGUGAAAUCCUGGAGCUCAACUCCAGAACUGCCUUUGAUACUGGCGACCUUGAGUCCGGGAGAGGUGAGUGGAACUGCGAGUGUAGAGGUGAAAUUCGUAGAUAUUCGCAAAGAACACCAGUGGCGAAGGCGGCUCACUGGCCCGGUACUGACGCUGAGACGCGAAAGCGUGGGGAGCGAACAGG